rnacentral:rRNA from 1 species
GAUGAACGCUGGCGGCGUGCCUAAUACAUGCAAGUCGAGCGAACGGACGAGAAGCUUGCUUCUCUGAUGUUAGCGGCGGACGGGUGAGUAACAUGUGGAUAACCUACCUAUAAGACUGGGAUAACUUCGGGAAACCGGAGCUAAUACCGGAUAAUAUUUUGAACCGCAUGGUUCAAAAGUGAAUGACGGUCUUUCUGUCACUUAUAGAUGCAUCCGCGCUGCAUUAGCUAGUUGGUAAGGUAAGGGCUUACCAAGGCAGGGAUGCAUAGCCGACCUGAGAGGGUGCACGGCCACACUGGAACGGAGACACGGUCCAAACUCCUAAGGGAGGCAGCAGUAGGGAAUCUUCCGCAAUGGGCGGGAGCCUGACGGAGCAACGCCGCGUGAGUGAUGGAGAUCUUCGGAUCGUGAAAAUCUGUUAUUAGGGAUGAACAGCUGUGUAAGUAGCUGAGCACAUCUUGACGGUACCUAAUCAAAAAGCCACGGCUAACUACGUG